CCGUGAGGGUCGGGGGGGGCGCCUCCCCUCAGCCUCAACCCCGCCAAAACGAGGGGGGAGGUUCCUGUUGCUUUUUAUUGAAAGCCUCAAUUAAAAUUAAUCUGGGAAGAGGUAGCUGAAAACACUGGCUGCAUCUCUGUGUCUCUUGGAGGUCACUUGCUGAUUUAUCUUCAAUUCACAGCUCAUUAGAAGGUGUGUAACUCUUCAGAGAUGUUGUUAUUUAACAGGAAGGAGCGAUUCCCGUGGUCAUCAGAACCAAGCGCAGAAGCUGUUCCCUGAACCGGGCUUUUCUUGUAGUGACACUGGCGGAUCUGUUAAAUCCAGUGACUCAAAAAUUAUUCAGCUGUUCAAGAAUUUCGAGAGCCCUUGGUAAUGAUACUUUCUUCCUGCUGGCACCCACCAUAGGCUGGCUCAGAGAAGCAGGGUGUUUCCUCACCAAUGAAUCCAAGCUGUGGUGUGUCUUGCCUCUCCUCUUUUCCUACCCCAUGGUUCCUUUGGCACAUCCAGGAUUCCUCUGCUUUUGUCCAGCAUCCAUCACUCAGCCAGCUGCCUAAAGGUGAAGACAACCACUUUAUCUGCAAGAAAAUAUUCAUUUAUGGGACUUAGAGGUUUGAAAAAAGGAAAAUGGGCUUAAAGCCUUCCUCAGGACAGAGAUUUACUCACAGUUUUCUCCUGUGGUUCUGAAGUCUGAUGCCAAAUACAAUAUGGAGUAGUGGUCACUCACUUCAUACAAAGAGGUUUGAUUGCACUUCCAGCUGGAACUCCACUCCUGUAUUGUGAUUGCAACUUCAUGUUUUACUUGUAUUUUGCAGUCAUUCAGGGGCCAAGUUUUCAAGUUUCCAGAUUUGGACUUGUUUUGAUUUCACUGCAAAAUCCUGCAAGAAUUUUGCCAACAGCAAGACCAAUGUGUUUGAAAGCAGAUUGCAUUUCCAGUACCUAAAGCCUGGUCAGGUUGAUUGCUUUGUGUCUGUAAGGUCAACACGGUUGAAGGCAUGAAGAUGAGGACAUCAAAGCCUUUGCCCACUUAUGACAAUUACUCUGGAAACAAACACAGCUCAGGAGACAAAUGUUAUAAACAACCUGUAGAGCCUCAUCUCAAGUAGCCUUGGGAAGGCCAAAGGUGCUUCCUUUUCCAGUUCACUGCCUGGAUUUUAGAAGAUACUAAUUUUUAGCAUCUAAACAAGGAAGUCACAGCUAUUUCCAUGGGAAGAAUCACAGAGAUGACAGGGCUUCCCCCCCAAAACACUGCCUGUGUAAUUGCUGAAGACAUUCCAAGCCACUCUAACGAAGUGCUGUCUGCCAGUCAUUAUGUUCUCCUUGGAGGCCCAUCUGUUGCACUUCAAAUAUGUAAAGGUCUCUAUCAUUUAUUGCUCCAAACAAAUCCAGGCCUUUGUCUGACAUGCUGGAGCUCCUGAAUGGAUUCUAAAGGUGGUUUCAGGCACAAAGCUCAGGGUAUUCCCUUUGGUUGUACUCCUUCAGCUCAAAUUUCAGAGCACAAAUACACUGAUUAAACCGAUACCUGAAUAUUUUCAAUUUAUUUAGAAAUGAAUUGUGAACAACAACAACAACUAAAAAUAUCUGAAAUACACUUUCAUUCAGCCAGGAGGACAUUGGAAGAUUUUUGUUUCUGAUGAAAAAAUCUUCCAAUUGUAGUGGUAUCCAGAUUUGAUAUAUGCUGAGAUUGGAAUGAAAAUUACCUUAUUUUAACUAAAUCUUUUAUUAGCUUAUUUGUAUCUGAAACUAGUGAUUCAAAGGAAUAGUAAAAAAGAGAGUUAACAGCUUAAAAUGCUCAAACCUUCCUUAGCACAUGUCCUUUACAAGGAUGUAAUACUUGGUUGUACAGUCAUUAUUUAUAGGUUAAUUAGGAUCCUUUCCAUGAGUAAAAUGAGCAAGAUCAGGCAUUAAAAUAUGCUGUUUUUUGUUUUUCCUGCUGCAGAUUUUAAAGAGCUGUACAUUCAGAUUGGAGAACAUGAGAAUUGUAUUUUCACAGCAGAAAAGUUCUGUUCAGAGAUUUCCAGCCAGAGAAAUCCGUAACAAUUUCUGUCUGAUUAGGGAGUGGUCCUAUCUUUUAUCCCCUUUUCCUCUUUCCCUUCUCCUUCCUGCACAGCAGCUAAUGUUCUGGUCAGAAGUAAUAAUAUGUUAGAUCUUGAAUGUCAGUAGCCCCAGAGAUUCUGACAAGACUAUUCAUGUGCAUUCAUACGUCUUAACCAAAGCUGACACUAAAGAGAGCAAGAAUUCUCAUAUUCCUCCUUUUAUUGCCGUGCAUUAAACCCAAAUCUUCUCUUGGAGACCUCUGCUAGAAAUGACACAUUCACCAUUUGAAAAAGGCAUUUUAGCAAGGUCUAAACAAAGCAGCUGGACAUCAAUCUGGCACAGGGCAGAGGCUCCUGUGAGAGCUCGCAGUUCAAAGCUGAACUCUGGUUUAUGCCUUACAAAUGUUGUGAGGUAAAUACUAAUGGAAAAUAAUCAUUCCUCCUAGUCUUUCUAAAUUUCAAUUUAAAAAUAAGUGUUUUUUAAAAAAAAUUAUUUUUUUUUUAAAUAGGACAUGUUCUUAUAGGGAUAUUUGGAUUCUGGUAACUCAAAGUUGUUUUCUGAGGGACACACACUGAUUGAAUAUUCUGCCCUACCUUUUACUCUGGACAAAUUUUAUACACACUUGUAGGAUGGUGUACAGCACAUGUUUGGGUAAUUUUGCAGGGAUCUGAUUAAGUUGUUAAAGCCAGGUAGGAAAUUCUGCCAGCAAUGAUAUUUUUAAUCUUCUUUUUUAAAAUGGUUGGUAGUAGUGACUAAGGCAGACUAGGUGGCUCUGGGCAGCUCGCCAUUUUUAGGUAGUUUAAUUUGUUAAAAAUUAUCUUUCUUCCCACCCAAAUCCCCUUGAAACCAUUUGGAGAAGAGAACUGUUGAACAGUUGCCAGUAAUAAGUCCUGCUGAGACCUCUGUAUCCUCCUGACAGAAAUGUUGGUGCCAACUGGAGACUGACUGGCACGAGUUUGAACUCUACACUGCUUGAUAUAUUUACUUCACAUGCACCAAUUACAAUAAUUACCACCUCUGUAGCUGAAGUUUAAGCACUCAGUCUGCACUCCAUACCUCAGGUUGUUGGCAGUAUGUUCAAUCCUAUAAUCUCAAUUUUCUUGGAAUAAUUAAGUAGAAAAUAAAUACUUCCAAAAAUUAGGAGAGAGUCUGAAUGGCAAUCAGAGGCUGAAUAAGAGUUGUUUGUCAUGUUGCUAUUGUUAAGCUGCAUUUAUUUCUAUUUAAUCUUGAUUUCUAAAAGGCAGCAUCUUCUUUUGCCUGCAGAGAUUCACCAGGAGAUGCUGUAGUCCAUUGACUUUUAUAUUCAGCAGUGGAGUAUCUCUUGAUGUGAAUGAAAAAGCAACAUGAACUCCUACUUUGUUUAGAUAUUUUAAAAAUAUAAAUAUUCCUUUCAAAAUAAAUGGUUUUGACUAGAAGGGGAAAUCACCCAUCCCUAGCUCCUUUUGGCUGGAUGUUUCCAUGUGAGAUUGUAAGGAUUUAAUACCAGGACUGGCAAAUUGUCAGUUCCUGACAAUUCCACUGGUUUAAAUCUGAUGCAAUAAGGACCAUCUCUCCCCCACCCCUGUUGUCUUUCCAAGAUACUGGUUAAUUUUUAAAUUGGAUCAGCAACAUUUAAAAAAAAAAUGGUAAAGUUUCUAUUACACAAAGAUAAACCUUAGACUGAGCACAAACUGACUUGCCUGUAGCUUUCCUAAUAUAAUUGCACUGCGCAGAGUAGAUACUAAAAUUUAUAUUAAAAUUUCUUCAUGCAGGUUCCCUCUAGGGAGAGGAAGGGGAAAGGAAAAAGCUUUAUGUGACAGAUGCUAAUUAUGCAGCUUAAUGCACUUCUGGAAGUUGCAGAGAUGAGAACUCUGUAAGAACCUAUCUGCAAAACAAAGCACAUUUUCAACAGCAUUUUUUCCUCAAUUCUUAUUUAAUCUGCCUCCUCUCUGUUUUCCAGAGAAUACUCUUUAUAUCCCAAAGAGUACAAAGGGCAAGCAGUGUCUGGUGCAGAAUUUGCCAACCAUGGAUGUGAUUGUCCUCCAUUGUGUCUUACUGUUCUGAGGUGCUGUACAUGGAGUUGGGAAAGCUUCAAGGUUCUGAGUCAGGAAGAGUUUGAGUUCAAAAUUCCUUAGGUGAUGUGUUAGUUUUCUGUCCUCUUUCUUGGAUAUUUUAUCAGUUCCUUAUCCUGUGUUUAGGUUUACUGGACAAAUAAUGUUCUGCACUUGUGCUGGGAUUCUAUAGAAGGAUUUAUUGUGAUGAAUGUGUCAGGACUGAUGAACCGGAUCCCAAAAUGCAUUCUUAUAGAGAAGUGAGCUCAGCCACAUGAGCUGAGUUGCUCAAAACUGGGAGGUGCAUCCACACCAAACCAAGUGUUAGACAUUAAUCCUCUCUUCCAGACAGUGAGCUGUGCUGUUUGAGGGAAAAGAAAUGGGAAAAUUUGACCAUAUCCUGAAAUCAAUUCAGACUUGCAAGAAGCAUCAUCCUGGAUAUCCAAAUCUACCCAAUCACUUUUAUCAAAUGAUUAUUUUUCCUGUUGUGUACUUAAUGCUGAAUGCUGCUUUCCCUGAUUUCCUUCACAUCCUUGGAUUUCUCCGUGGGGAGGAAUGACUUGAGAACCUCUGGGACUUCUGAGGGGCUCGGGCUGGCCCUGGGCACCCAGGAAUGCUCCUCACAGCCCUUGGCUGCAGCCUGCCCAGGGAAAACCAUCUGUUCCCCUUGGAAAGGGGUUUGCUUCCCCCCAGAGCCCUCCCCCCGCAUCCCGGCUCCGGCCCCAGCUGCCGUGUUUCGAUGAGCACUGGGGGAAUGAAUCUCCUGCGUUUAAAAAUACUCUGCUUCUAUUUAGAUGAAAAGAAGAAUCUUGCUUGCCUACACUGGCAUACAAAAAUAGGCUCAGUGUGAGUAAAUCUUCAAAGUUUCUCUUGGUGAAUAUAUCUAGCCUCACUUUUUUUUUUAAACUUAUCAUAUAAGUUUAUUUAUAGAGUGUCCUUCUUUCCUCCUACUCUAUCAAGACAUUUGCAGAAGGUUGUCGCUCGUCUUGUUCAGGAGUCCUGAAAUAAUUUGCAGGGCCUUUGAAACAUCAUCGUGUUGCAUAGUUGUGAUCAACGUGCUGCUGUUGCAUGAACAUAUCGUAUUUUAAUGUGAAUGUCAGGUUAGCUGAGACAUUCAGAGCUUUCUUUUACUUUAGGUGCUUUACACUGGUUUGUGUUUUUGCUUGAACACUGCUGUAAAAAUUCUGCAUAUAGUAACUUAAAAUUUUCCAUUCUACUUGCAAGGCAUUGCCUAGAAAAUUAAUGUGUAAUAUGAGAGGAUUAGUAAGAUGCAUACACUUUCCAAACAUCUCUUAAAAAUAGCUUUCACUGUCACUGUAGCAUCUUAAUUCUGAAUAAUCUCACAGUCCUUCUGCAAAUCUGUGCAUGUAGUAACAGAGAAGCCACCUACUUCUUGUGAACUGCACAAUAUGCAUCUGGGCAUGGAAAAAACUGGGUUUUGGAGUAGGGCUCUGCUUUGGCAGAGAGGCUGUCUGCGGGACUAGUGAGAGCAUUAACGCUUGCAUUAAAUAUUAAAGUCAGCUUUCACAA